rnacentral:rRNA from 1 species
UUCCGUAGGUGAACCUGCGGAAGGAUCAUUCACACGAAUCAUCCAAAUCCACGUGCAUAUCUGAGUGAGAGUCAUGGAAGGACUGGCAACGGUCAUCUGUGUUCUCUCGAGGCUGGUCUGGGGCGGAUUAGGGCUUCGGCACCUCUUCUGCUCUGUCCAGCACCCAUACCUCACCCUGUGAUUCUUUUGUUGUCGGUGCCUCUUGGUACUACAUUCAACAUUACAACUUUUAGCGAUGGAUGCCUCGGCUCGAACAACGAUGAAGGGCGCAGCGAAAUGCGAUAAGCACUGUGAAUUGCAGAAUUCCGUGAAUCAACAGAACCCUGAACGCAUCCUGUGCUUUCGGGAUAUCCCUGAAAGCAUGUCUGCUUCAGAGUCUCCACUGUAUCCUGCAGCAUUGGCCUGGAGCCUGGCUGCGUCUCUGCGCGUUAGAGCGCGCCCCUGCCUUUGGCUGGCGGCCGCUCUGACGUGUUUAAUGCAUCGAUCUGCCUUGAGAGCGCCAACUUGGUGAUCGCCCUUGCUGGUGUUUCAUCUCGCUGUUCGCCUCAAGUUGGGAUCCCCACUCCUUUGCUGUCCUUGCGGCAGUGAACCAAGACAUGAAGUUAGGCAAGGUUACCCGCUGAAUUUAAGCAUAUC